rnacentral:rRNA from 1 species
UGCCCAAGAGAUCGGGAUAACACCUGGAAACAGAUGCUAAUACCGGAUAACAACAGAUGAUGCCUAUCAACUGUUUAAAAGAUGGUUCUGCUAUCACUCUUGGAUGGACCUGCGGUGCAUUAGCUAGUUGGUAGGGUAACGGCCUACCAAGGCGAUGAUGCAUAGCCGAGUUGAGAGACUGAUCGGCCACAUUGGGACUGAUACACGGCUCAAACUCCUACGGGAGGCAGCAGUA